rnacentral:rRNA from 1 species
GAUGAACGCUGGCGGCGUGCCUAAUACAUGCAAGUCGAGCGAACAGAUGAGGAGCUUGCUCCUCUGACGUUAGCGGCGGACGGGUGAGUAACACGUGGAUAACCUACCUAUAAGACUGGGAUAACUACGGGAAACCGGAGCUAAUACCGGAUAAUAUAUUGAACCGCAUGGUUCAAUAGUGAAAGACGGUUUUGCUGUCACUUAUAGAUGGAUCCGCGCCGCAUUAGCUAGUUGGUAAGGUAACGGCUUACCAAGGCAACGAUGCGUAGCCGACCUGAGAGGGGGAUCGGCCACACUGGAGCUGAGGCACGGUCCAGACUACAACGAGAGGCAGCAGUAGGGAAUAUUCCGCAAUGGGCGAAAGCAUGACGGAGAAACGACGCGUGAGUGAGGAAGGUCUUCGGAUCGUAAAAAUCUGUUAAUAGGGAAGAACAAAUGUGUAAGUAACUAUGAAAGGCUUGACGGUACCUAAUCAGAAAGCCACGGCUAAAUACGUG